AAUCAACGCUGGCGGCGCGCUUAACACAUGCAAGUCGAACGAGAAAGGGGAGCAAUCCCUGAGUACAGUGGCGUACGGGUGAGUAACACGUGGAUGAUCUACCUCUUAGUGGGGAAUACCUCUGGGAAACCGGAGACAAUACCGCAUAAGCCUGUGAGGGGAAAGCAGCAAUGCGCUGAGAGAGGAGUCCGCGGCCGAUUAGCUAGUUGGUAGGGUAAAGGCCUACCAAGGCAAAGAUCGGUAGCCGGCCUGAGAGGGCACACGGCCACACUGGCACUGAGACACGGUCCAGACUCCUACGGGAGGCAGCAGUAAGGAAUAUUGCUCAAUGGCCGAAAGGCUGAAGCAGCAACGCCGCGUGGAGGACGAAAUACUUUUGUAUGUAAACUCCUGUAAGAAGGGAAAAUAUGCAGUUUUUCUGCAUUGAUUGUACCUUCAGAGUAAGCCCCGGCUAACUACGUGCCAGCAGCCGCGGUAAUUCUCG
rnacentral:rRNA from 1 species